rnacentral:rRNA from 1 species
GCUUGUCUCAAAGAUUAAGCCAUGCAUGUCUAAGUAUAAACGACUUUAUACUGUGAAACUGCGAAUGGCUCAUUAUAUCAGUUAUAGUUUAUUUGAUGGUCCUUGCUACUUGGAUAACCGUAGUAAUUCUAGAGCUAAUACAUGCAUCAAGCCCCGACUUCUGGAAGGGGUGUAUUUAUUAGAUGGAAACCAAUGCGGGGCAACCCGGUAUAUGGUGAUUCAUGAUAACUUUGCGAAUCGCAUAGCUUUAAUGCUGGCGAUGGGUCAUUCAAAUUUCUGCCCUAUCAACUUUCGACGGUAGGAUAGAGGCCUACUGUGGUGAUAACGGGUAACGAAGAAUAAGGGUUCGAUUUCGGAGAGGGAGCCUGAGAAACGGCUACCACAUCCAAGGAAGGCAGCAGG